GACGAACCGUGCGAACGUUGUUCGGAAUCACUGGGCUUAAAGGGCGCGUAGGCGGGUUGCCAAGUCCGGGGUGAAAGCCUCCAGCUUAACUGGAGAAGUGCCUUGGAUACUGGUGAUCUCGAGGGAGGUAGGGGCAUGCGGAACUUCCGGUGGAGCGGUGAAAUGCGUGGAUAUCGGAAGGAACGCCGGUGGCGAAAGCGGCGUGCUGGACCUCUUCUGACGCUGAGGCGCGAAAGCUAGGGGAGCAAACAGG
rnacentral:rRNA from 1 species